GGAGGGUUUGAUUUGCUUGAAUGAUAAUUAAAAGUGAUUCGGAUAGCAUGCAGUUGGGACAUGAUCAUCAAAGUUGAAAAUAUAAGUCUAAAUAUUUAAUGUUUUUCAUGAAUUUUUGUUUUAAGUUUCAAUCGUGCAAUACUAAGCUAACUAUGUGGCUCUAGCAAAUUUUCUUUGCAGCGUGACUCUUGCGCAAAUUUUCUAUGCUAUGUUUCUAUGCGACUCCACGCGAUGCCUCCGAGUGUGGAUUCCUUCAGAAAACACGACUCUAGCGACUCCUUCAGAAAGCGACCCCACCAAGUGCUGACAAAUUUUCUGUAUUCCACCCCACCCCAACUCCUCUUUCCUUCUAUGCCUCUACUCUUUCAGGAAACUUUAUUUAUGUCCCUCCUCUUUCACUCCAAAGCAAUCCACCCAAACUCCUUUUUUCCUUCUAUACCUCUCAUCUUUCAAGAAACCUUAUUUAUAUCCCUCCUCUUUCACUGCAAAGCAUUCCACCCUACCUCCUCCUUCCCACUAUAUCAAGGAUAAUGGGGAACGUUUUAUCUUCUUCAGUAACGAGUCUUGUACCUCUGUCAAGGGUGCAAGAGGAACCAAAGAAUGCUACUAUGUUACGGCAUAAGUUGUUUGAGUUCCUAAUGAACAUGUUGGCUGUCUUUUUGCAACUAAUGUUCAAACCGAAAACUGUGUCUCCAUUUGAAAGACACCGUAGAACCAUGUUUAUCGCCGUCGUUACUUCGCAUAUCUAUAUUGUUGCCUUGGCGGCAGAGAUCAAACUCCUACUCCACUAUCCCUGAUCAAAUUAUACUGGACUUCUAGGCAAUACUCGGCUCUUGUUUGGCACUCUUGCUUCCAUUUUGCAUCUGCAGAUCAUUUUUCCAGCUAUUGGGUGGUUCUGCUUUAUCUUAUGGCUGUGUUACGUCAUCUGGAUUGUUUACACGUAGCUGUCCUCAGAACAAAUAAUUCUUCCUCUGUAAUGUGAAUAGGUAUGUUUUACAUAUAUAAAUGGCACCUCAUAGUCAAUUUGCUGUAUGAAUAUAUUAAAAUUAUUGUUAUGUAUUUUGUGAUUAUUGAUACAGAUUGAAUUGGACGUGUAUUGCCCUUCAUUGACAUUUCAUAUACAGAAAUUAUUGUCGUUA